rnacentral:rRNA from 1 species
UACCAGCACCCCGAGUGGUCGGGACGUUUUAUUGGGCCUAAAGCAUCCGUAGCCGGUUCUACAAGUCUUCCGUUAAAUCCAGCUGCUUAACAGAUGGGCUGCGGAAGAUACUAUGGAGCUAGGAGGCGGGGAGAGGCAAGCGGUACUCGAUGGGUAGGGGUAAAAAUCCGUUGAUCCAUUGAAGACCACCAGUGGCGAAGGCGGCUUGCCAGAACGCGCUCGACGGUGAGGGAUGAAAGCUGGGGGGAGCAAACCGG